rnacentral:rRNA from 1 species
UACGUAGGGUGCAAGCGUUGUCCGGAAUUAUUGGGCGUAAAGAGCUCGUAGGCGGUUUGUCGCGUCGAAUGUGAAAACCCGGGGCUCAACCCCGGGCCUGCAUUCGAUACGGGCAGACUAGAGUUCGGUAGGGGAGUCUGGAAUUCCUGGUGUAGCGGUGAAAUGCGCAGAUAUCAGGAGGAACACCGAUGGCGAAGGCAGCUCGCUGGGACGGUACUGACGCUGAGGCGCGAAAGCGUGGGGAGCGAACAGG